UUUUUUUUUGUUAAAAAUGUACACAUUAAAAAAUUGUGUAAUUAAUUUUCACAAUAAAAUCAACAAACAUCAUGCAAUAAGAAAAAAAAAAAAACAUCAGUAUACUAAUUACUGUUCUUUUUUACCGGCAAACAUUUAUCUUCUAUAAAAUCUUCCCAAAACGUAACAAAGAAUAGUGAAGUGAGAUCAAACAAAAAUUAAUAGUUUCAUAGACGGAAAAAGGGCCUAUUUCAACAUGAACUUUACCCGUCGUGCCUAUUCUUUUCCGAACUUUGUAGUAGUGCAUUUUCC
rnacentral:lncRNA from 1 species